AUACGAAGGGUGCUAGCGUUGUUCGGAAUUACUGGGCGUAAAGCGUACGUAGGCGGAUUAUUAAGUCAGAUGUGAAAUCCCGAGGCUCAACCUCGGAACUGCAUUUGAAACUGGUAGUCUAGAGAUCAGGAGAGGUUAGUGGAAUACCGAGUGUAGAGGUGAAAUUCGUAGAUAUUCGGUGGAACACCAGUGGCGAAGGCGACUAACUGGACUGAUACUGACGCUGAGGUACGAAAGUGUGGGGAGCAAACAGGAUUAGAUACCCCGGUAGUCC
rnacentral:rRNA from 1 species